UACGUAGGAGCCAAGCGUUAUCCGAAUUUACUGGGCGUAAAGCGCGUGCAGGUGGUCAGGAAAGUUGGAUGUGAAAGCUCUCGGCUCAACUGAGAGAGGCCGUUCAAAACUACCUGACUAGAGGAUGGCAGAGGAAGAUGGAAUUCCCGGUGUAGUAGUGAAAUGCGUAGAUAUCGGGAGGAACACCAGAGGCGAAAGCGGUCUUCUGGGCCAUAACUGACACUCAGACGCGAAGGCCAGGGUAGCGAAUGGG
rnacentral:rRNA from 1 species